UACGUAGGCAGCAAGCGUUGUUCGGAGUUACUGGGCGUAAAGGGUGUGUAGGCGGUUGUUUAAGUUUGGUGUGAAAUCUCCCGGCUCAACUGGGAGGGUGCGCCGAAUACUGAAUAACUUGGAGUGCGGGAGAGGAAAGUGGAAUUCCUGGUGUAGCGGUGAAAUGCGUAGAUAUCAGGAGGAACACCGGUGGUGUAGACGGCUUUCUGGACCGUAACUGACGCUGAGACACGAAAGCGUGGGUAGCAAACAGG
rnacentral:rRNA from 1 species